rnacentral:misc_RNA from 1 species
GAAAUGCGAUAAGUAAUGUGAAUUGCAGAAUUCAGUGAACCAUCGAAUCUUUGAACGCACAUUGCGCCCCCUGGCACUCCGGGGGGCACGCCUGUCCGAGCGUCAUUUGUACCCUCAAGCUCUGCUUGGUGUUGGGUGUUUGUCCCGUCUCCGCGCGUGGACUCGCCCCAAAGUGAUUGGCAGCCGGCGUACUGGUCCCGGAGCGCAGCACAUGUCGCGCAAACGAGUGCCUUGGUACGGCGGCGUCCAUAAGCCCCUCUCUCACGCUCUUGACCUCGGAUCAGGUAGGGAUACCCGCUGAACUUAAGC